AUAUUUUUCAGCACACGUACCAAAAUUGGAAAAACACAGAGAUUAGCAUGACUCCUGCACAAGGAUAUUAUGUUAAUUCCUGAAGCAUUCCAUAUUUUU
ensembl:snRNA U6 U6 spliceosomal RNA